CCUAGGCUACGCAUUUAAUGAGUAAAUUUAUUCUUUUACUAUAUUGAAUAGUUUAGUGAG
rnacentral:pre_miRNA from 1 species